UAAUCUGGUUUUUGUCGAGCCUGCGACUUUUGUCGCAGAAAGCUCGACAUAGGGAUAGCGAUCCGGCGGCGGCGGCGGCGGCUACGGCGGCGGCGGCGGCGGCGGCGUUAGCUAACUUCUUAAAAGCUUUAUAUUUUAGAAGAUGGAAGACCUGGAUGCUUCAUACUUUGUAUAUGGAUGCCUCAUGUUACGAAGUUUCCGUCAGUCACAUGUCCAAUGUCCUUGACCUCAUUUUCAUGGUUCAGUGACUACUUGAAAAAAAAGUUCAGAUUUUUUGUAAUGUUAAAUUCUCUCUUAUUAUAAGUAAUAGGAUAACUAUAUUUGGUAUGUGCGUACCUUGCAAGGUCCUCAUGCCCGUCAGACAGUUUUCACUUGACCUCGACCUCAUUUCAUGGAUCAGUGAACAAGGUUAAGUUUUCGUGGUCAUGUCCAUAUCUCAGAUACUAUAAGCAAUAGGUCUAGUAUAUUCGGUGUAUGGAAGGACUGUAAGGUGUACAUGUCCAACUGGCAGGUGUCAUCUGACCUUGACCUCAUUUUCAUGGUUCAGUGGUUAUAGUUAAGUUUUUGUGUUUUGGUCUGUUUUUCUUAUACUGUAUGCAAUAGGUCUACUAUAUUUGGUGUAUGGAAUGAUUGUAAGGUGUACAUGUCUAGCUGGCAGGUGUCAUCUGACCUUGACCUCAUUUUCAUGGUUCAGUGGUCAAAGUUAAGUUUUUGAGUUUUGGUCUUUCUUUCUAAUACUGCAUGCAAUAGGUCAGCUAUAUUUGGUGUAUGGAAUGAUUGUAAGGUGUACAUGUCUAGCUGGCAGGUGUCAUCUUACCUUGACCUCAUUUUCAUGGUUCAGUGGUCAAAGUUAAGUUUUUGAGUUUUGGUCUUUUUUUCUAAUACUAUAUGCAAUAGUUCAACUAUAUUUGGUGUAUGGAAAUAUUUUAUGAUCUAUAUGUCAGUUACGCAGGUUUUAUUUGACCUUGACCUCAUUUUCAAGGUUCAUUGCUCAGUGUUAAGUUUUUGUGUUUUCGUCUGUUUUUCUUAAACUAUAAGCAAUAGGUCAACUAUAUUUGUUGUAUGGAAGAAUUGUUAGCUGUACAUGCCUGCCUAGCAUGGUUCAUCUGACCUUGACCUCAUUUUAAUGGUUCAUUGGUCAAUGUUUAGUUUACUUGGUUAAUGUUAAGUUUAUGUGACAGUUGUAAUAAAGCUUUAUAUUUAGGACUAUCAACAUAAUAUCAAUGAUUAGUAAAGAAGGCGAGACAUUUCAGCGUGUGCACUCUUGUUGUGUUAUUGGUAAAAAUAGCAAGUGCACUUUAUUUGCAUGCUACAGUUUUUUUUUUCCUCUUUAAAUAUCAUUGAUUUACCCUCAAUACCUUGCUUUCCUAUAGACUAGUUUUCUUAAUUACCUCAUACUUUUUAAAGAUCAAUCACAAAUUGGUAAUUUACUUCAACACUCUUGUUUCUUAUGGUUUUGUCUAUCAUUCUUUGAAAUUAGUGAUUUAUCCCUGGUAAUCUGGUUUUCUCUAGGUUUGUGUGUUACUGGACCUCUAUAAGAAUUAGUGAUUUAUCCCUGGUAAUCUGGUUUUCUCUAGGUUUGUGUGUUACUGGACCUCUAUAAGAAUUAGUGAUUUAUCCCUGGUAAUCUGGUUUUCUCUAGGUUUGUGUGUUACUGGACCUCUAUAAGAAUUAGUGAUUUAUCCCUGGUAAUCUGGUUUUCUCUAGGUUUGUGUGUUACUGGACCUCUAUAAGAAUUAGUGAUUUAUCCCUGGUAAUCUGGUUUUCUCUAGGUUUGUGUGUUACUCGACCUCUAUAAGAAUUAGUGAUUUAUCCCUGUUAAUCUGGUUUUCUCUAGGUUUGUGUGUUACUCGACCUCUAUAAGAAUUAGUGAUUUAUCCCUGUUAAUCUGGUUUUCUCUAGGUUUGUGUGUUACUCGA